UACGAACUGUGCGAACGUUAUUCGGAAUCACUGGGCUUAAAGGGUGCGUAGGCGGCUGCCUAAGUCAGGUGUGAAAUCUCCCGGCUCAACCGGGAAACUGCGCUUGAUACUGGGCGGCUCGAGUGAGGUAGGGGGUGUGUGGAACUUCCGGUGGAGCGGUGAAAUGUGUAGAUAUCGGAAGGAACGCCAGCAGCGAAAGCGGCACACUGGGCCUUUUUCUGACGCUGAGGCACGAAAGCCAGGGGAGCGAACGGG
rnacentral:rRNA from 1 species